UACGUAGGGUGCGAGCGUUGUCCGGAAUUAUUGGGCGUAAAGAGCUUGUAGGCGGUUUGUCGCGUCUGCCGUGAAAGCCCAGGGCUUAACCCUGGGUCUGCGGUGGGUACGGGCAGACUAGAGUGUGGUAGGGGAGACUGGAAUUCCUGGUGUAGCGGUGAAAUGCGCAGAUAUCAGGAGGAACACCGAUGGCGAAGGCAGAUCUCUGGGCCGUAACUGACGCUGAGGAGCGAAAGCGUGGGGAGCGAACAG
rnacentral:rRNA from 1 species